UAGCGUAGGGGGCAAGCGUUGUCCGGAUUUAUUGGGCGUAAAAGAGCUCGUAGGCGGCUCAGUAAGUCGGGUGUGAAAGCCCCGAGCUCAACUCGGGGAGGCCACCCGAUACUGCUGUGGCUAGAGCCCGGUAGGGGAGCGUGGAAUUCCCGGUGUAGCGGUGAAAUGCGCAGAUAUCGGGAGGAACACCAGCGGCGAAGGCGGCGCUCUGGGCCGGAACUGACGCUGAGGAGCGAAAGCGUGGGGAGCGAACAGG
rnacentral:rRNA from 1 species